rnacentral:rRNA from 1 species
CCCUUAGAUGUUCUGGGCCGCACGCGCGCUACACUGUUCGACGCAGCGAGUCUUAACCUUGACCGAAAGGUUUGGGUAAUCUUCAGCAAAGUCGAACGUGAUGGGGAUCGAUCAUUGCAAUUAUUGAUCGUGAACGAGGAAUUCCUAGUAAGUGCAAGUCAUCAGCUUGCGCUGAUUACGUCCCUGCCCUUUGUACACACCGCCCGUCGCUACUACCGAUUGAAUGGUUGAGUGAGAUCUCUGGAUUGACGCUGGCUAGGGGGCGACCCUUGGCCAGGCUGUCGAGAAACUGCUCAAACUUGAUCAUUUAGAGGAAGUAAAAGUCGUAACA